rnacentral:rRNA from 1 species
UACGUAGGUGGCGAGCGUUAUCCGGAUUUAUUGGGCGUAAAGGGAACGCAGGCGGUCUUUUAAGUCUGAUGUGAAAGCCUUCGGCUUAACCGGAGUAGUGCAUUGGAAACUGGGAGACUUGAGUGCAAAAGAGGAGAGUGGAACUCCAUGUGUAGCGGUGAAAUGCGUAGAUAUAUGGAAGAACACCAGUGGCGAAAGCGGCUCUCUGGUCUGUAACUGACGCUGAGGUUCGAAAGCGUGGGUAGCAAACAGG